rnacentral:rRNA from 1 species
UACGGAGGGUGCAAGCGUUUAUCCGGAUUCACUGGGUUUAAAGGGUGCGUAGGUGGGCUGGUAAGUCAGUGGUGAAAUCCCCAAGCUUAACUUGGGAACUGCCAUUGAUACUAUCAGUCUUGAAUACCGUGGAGGUUAGCGGAAUAUGUCAUGUAGCGGUGAAAUGCUUAGAUAUGACAUAGAACACCAAUUGCGAAGGCAGCUGGCUACACGAAUAUUGACACUGAGGCACGAAAGCGUGGGGAUCAAACAGG